UACAGAGGUCUCAAGCGUUGUUCGGAUUCAUUGGGCGUAAAGGGUGCGUAGGCGGCGGGGCAAGUCAGGUGUGAAAUCCCGGAGCUCAACUCCGGAACUGCACUUGAUACUGCCUUGCUAGAGUACUGGAGAGGAGACUGGAAUUUACGGUGUAGCAGUGAAAUGCGUAGAUAUCGUGGAGAACACCCGUGGCGAAGGCGGGCUUCUGGCUAAUUACUGACGCUGAGGUGCGAAAGCUAGGGGAGCGAACGGG
rnacentral:rRNA from 1 species